rnacentral:rRNA from 1 species
UACGUAGGGUGCGAGCGUUAAUCGGAAUUACUGGGCGUAAAGCGUGCGCAGGCGGUUUUGUAAGCCAGAUGUGAAAUCCCCGGGCUUAACCUGGGAAUGGCAUUUGGGACUGCAAGGCUGGAGUGUGGCAGAGGAGACUGGAAUUCCUGGUGUAGCAGUGAAAUGCGUAGAUAUCAGGAGGAAUACCGAUGGCGAAGGCAGGUCUCUGGGCUGACACUGACGCUGAGGCGCGAAAGCGUGGGGAGCAAACAGG